UAGGGAAUCUUCCACAAUGGACGCAAGUCUGAUGGAGCAACGCCGCGUGAGUGAAGAAGGUUUUCGGACCGUAAAGCUCUGUUGUUGGUGAAGAAGGAUAGAGGUAGUAACUGGCCUUUAUUUGACGGUAAUCAACCAGAAAGUCACGGCUAACUACGUGCCAGCAGCCGCGGUAAUACGUAGGUGGCAAGCGUUGUCCGGAUUUAUUGGGCGUAAAGCGAGCGCAGGCGGAAGAAUAAGUCUGAUGUGAAAGCCCUCGGCUUAACCGAGGAAUUGCAUCGGAAACUGUUUUCUUGAGUGCAGAGGAGGAGAGUAGAACUCCAUGUGUAGCGGUGGAAUGCGUAGAUAUAUGGAAGAAUACCAGUGGCGAAGGCGGCUCUCUGGUCUGCAACUGACGCUGAGGCUCGAAAGCAUGGGUAGCGAACAGGAUUAGAUACCCUUGGUAGUC
rnacentral:rRNA from 1 species